rnacentral:tRNA from 1 species
UCCUCGAUAGUCUAGUGGUGAGGAUAUCGGCUUGUCAAGAAUUAACUAUUCACGAUUCGCCGGGGACCGGGGUUCAAUUCCCCGUCGAGGAG